CUGCUCUAGCAGCCACAAAACUCCCAUCAUCCUUCCGGAUUACACAACCGAAACCUACCGAACCUCGUUGCAAGCUUAAAGAGGCGUCAAUGUUCGCCUUGAUCCAACCGUGCGGCGGAGGAGACCAGAUCGGGCGAGCCGGGUCGACAAUGGUGCUUACUGAGGACACGACCCGGGCUGCUUUCCAUUGCUGCAAAAAAUUCAGAGCCAUGAAGAACACACCACUCGCAGUCUGACCCUGGCCCUU
rnacentral:lncRNA from 1 species